GCAGUAAGGAAUAUUGGUCAAUGGAGGGAACUCUGAACCAGCCAUGCCGCGUGCAGGAUGACUGCCCUAUGGGUUGUAAACUGCUUUUGUCAGGGAAUAAACCUUUCCACGUGUGGGAAGCUGAAUGUACCUGAAGAAUAAGGAUCGGCUAACUCCGUGCCAGCAGCCGCGGUAAUACGGAGGAUCCAAGCGUUAUCCGGAUUUAUUGGGUUUAAAGGGUGCGUAGGCGGUCCUAUAAGUCAGUGGUGAAAGACGGCAGCUUAACUGUCGCAGUGCCUUUGAUACUGUAGGACUUGAAUCUAUUUGAAGUGGGCGGAAUAAGACAAGUAGCGGUGAAAUGCAUAGAUAUGUCUUAGAACUCCGAUUGCGAAGGCAGCUCACUAAGUUAGUAUUGACGCUGAUGCACGAAAGCGUGGGGAUCAAACAGGAUUAGA
rnacentral:rRNA from 1 species